GGCCGUAGCUCCAUGGCAGAGCAUCUGCUAUGCAUGCAGAAGGUCGCUGGUUCAAUCCCCAGCAUCGCCA